rnacentral:rRNA from 1 species
UUUGAACGNNGCGGAAGGCUAACACAUGGGAGUAGAGCGGAUGAAGGGAGCUUGCUCCUGGAUUCAGCGGCGGACGGGUGAGUAAUGCCUAGGAAUCUCCCUGGCAGUGGGGGAUAACGUCCGGAAACGGCCGCUAAUACCGCAUACGUCCUGAGGGAGAAAGUGGGGGAUCUUCGGACCUCACGCUAUCAGAUGAGCCUAGGUCGGAUUAGCUAGUUGGUGGGGUAAAGGCCUACCAAGGCGACGAUCCGUAACUGGUCUGAGAGGAUGAUCAGUCACACUGGAACUGAGACACGGUCCAGACUCCUACGGGAGGCAGCAGUGGGGAAUAUUGGACAAUGGGCGAAAGCCUGAUCCAGCCAUGCCACGUGUGUGAAGAAGGUCUUCGGAUUGUAAAGCACUUUAAGUUGGGAGGAAGGGCAGUAAGUUAAUACCUUGCUGUUUUGACGUUACCAACAGAAUAAGCACCGGCUAACUUCGUGCCAGCAGCCGCGGUAAUACGAAGGGUGCAAGCGUUAAUCGGAAUUACUGGGCGUAAAGCGCGCGUAGGUGGUUCAGCAAGUUGGAUGUGAAAUCCCCGGGCUCAACCUGGGAACUGCAUCCAAAACUACUGAGCUAGAGUACGGUAGAGGGUGGUGGAAUUUCCUGUGUAGCCGUGAAAUGCGUACAUAUAAGAAGGAUCACCAGUGGCGAAGGCGACCACCUGGACUGUUACUGCCACUGAGGUGCGAAAGCCUGGCGACCNCCAAGAGGAUUANAUAGCCAUGCUAAUCCACGCGUAA